GAGCAGGAUAAGCAAAAGGACUGGGGAGCAAGGAAUGUCAGCAAGCUUUUAGAUCAGUUGUAUCAUCAAACUGUACCUGAGUACCCUCUCUACAAACAUACUCCAUAUUUGCUGUUGGAGACAGUUUCCUGGGCAAUUUGCAGAAUCAUUCUAGGAGAAAACCACACCCCGUCAUGGAGAUUCAGCAUGAAAACAGCAGCGUACCUAUUAAACUCAUGUAAAGACAAGGGCUCUCCCUCUCUUUCAGCAGUGCUAAUCAGCAGUCCCUUCUUCCAGCUCCUAUCAGAUGUUCAGGGCAGCAGCUAUGAAGGAGAAGGAAGACAUUUGCUCCAUGCCUAAUACUGCAUCUUGCGUAGUCCUACAGGGGAGGCAAGCAGAGAGGAAAUACAGACCCUGAUUUUGAGGUCUUGUAGCUCCCUGAUGCAGCUACUCCCAUUGCUACUGCAGCUGUUGGCCAUCAGCACAUUUGAAAAUCCUGGCUGUGAAGCAGGGUUUCUCUCCCAGAUAUAUGGGAAAAAAAGAAAGGAGUCAUCAGAAUGGAAGAAAGCAGAAAACUGCAAUUCAUGGCUGUUGGCAGUACCAUUGAGGGCCUUGGACACUUAAGUGCUGUGUAUACAUGCAGAGGCAUACAAGGAGAAAAAAGGCUCUUGCUGUGAACACACCAUGGUUUGCCUGGAGGUUUCCUUGGUUUGUGAAGCGCACAGGGCAAGAUCCAGAGCUCCUGAGAACAGCAAAGCCCAUGGCACUGAGCAGAAUGGCUUGGAUGGCUAGUACAUCACGCACAAUACUGCUCAGUCUUCAGCUGCAUCAGCCCUCCUUAUCUCAAUCUUCAGCUUCGUACUGGUUUGGCAGUUCUCCUCCUCUUUACAUCUUUGUUCUUCAAGCUGUAUCAAAGCACCUGGGGCUUCAACCUCUUCCUUAGGCACCCUGCCCCCAGCUCUGCCAAGAGUCCUAGCAAGCACUGAUAGAGAAUGGAGAAAACCUUGAUUUUUUUCUUUAUUUUUCCUCCUCCUUUGCUUUGCAGGAUCCUCUCCUAGAUGAGUGGCUAACUGCCUAGAGCAGCUUUAAUUCUUCUAUGGCAACACUCUGCACUGCCAAGCAUUAUUCACAGAGAACAGAAACAGGAUGGGGCAAAUGUGGAGGGAAGGCAAGUGGCGAAAACCGAAAAAGAAUGAGCAAAUGAUUGCAAACCAAUGGGUGUCAGCAGACAGGAGGGGAGGGAAGGAACAGGGAGGCUGUGACUGAGCUGUUUAUCCCUGAGUGCAGUCACAGUUACCAUGCAACUGGGAUCAGCAGAGCGAUGAGGGGGGUGUUCUCCCCCAAGAAAGCUGUGAGCGGCACUCAGCCAAGUGCUGCCACCACACUGCCACCACCAUCUCCCAGGGCAGCCCAGCCCACUCCUCCACUUGCUCCAGCCCUGGUAUGCACUGAUCUCUCCUGACCUGGUGGGGCACACAUUUGCCAAGGCCCUGCAGAGCUGCUCAGCGCUUGGGCAGGGAAGCAAAGCUGCUUCUGCAGUUUUAAGUGGUGCUGUUUGUGGCACCCCAGAGACAGAAAGAAACCGGCAGCUGGGAUGGAGGCAGGGCACUGGUUUGGUGCUGAUCUCAGACAAUGAUGUGCUGCAGCACUGCAGAGGGAGUGCACUCUGACAUUAAGGGCUCUCUGCCCUGUGCUGGAGGAUGAUGAGUGCAUCUUAGUCAGGUGAGCUGAUGGGAUGCAGGGCUGCUGUCCCGGGGCAUGGAGCUACAUAAUGCUGGGUUCCUCCGCCUGGCAUCUGGGUCCAGCAGCCCAGGGUGAAGGGAAAUUCCCACAGUACAAUGGGGUCAGCUAAGCAUUUGUAGAUCACCAUUUGUAGAGAUGAGGUAGAAGAAAUGGCUCCCUCUGGCCUGACACAGGCUAUCCUCACAAGCCAAAAACACAGGAACAAGAUGAUUGGAGAAGCUAAGCCUGCAGAGCUGCUGUAAAAGACUUUUCCCUUGUUACUCAGUGAGGCAGGUUGACAUCACCUCCAGAUUACAGGUGUCCCAUGAGAUGCGACAGCUUGUCCCAUAUCCCUCCAGCCAGACAUUCUGUCAGGUUUGCCCCUGACACUGAGUGCUGCACUCAAAACCCCUUUCCCUUUGUGGGAUGGGCUUCUACCUAGCAGUCUGCCUGGAAGAUGAGGCAAAACAGGGGGAUUCCAGUUUAACAUGGUCAGGCCCCUGACAGCUCUGUAAGGCUGCCCUGAGCCCCAGGGCUGAUUGGCACUGCGGGGCAUGUGGGCUGGUACGUGCCUCACCUGGUGCUCUGGGCUCCCCACCCUGGGGCUGACAGUCAGUGCCAAGCCCGAGAGGGGCUCCAGCUGGAAAUAUCCAGGGCACAGUGGGGGGCUGACAGGCAAGCGGAAGAAGAAGCAGAUGUGGAGGCGAUGUGGUGUGAGGACUAUGUUUGACCUGCAAUACAGCUAACAUCAAAAUCAAUCUACCCACUGUAGCUGGUCCUCAAUCCCUUGGUUACCCCUCCUCUUGAACACCUACAACAACAUAUUAUUCCUUUCACCCUCUGCCAAACUCAUCUGUCUUUUUGCUGUAUCUGCUUUCACAUCCCUUUCAUUCCUCACUCAAAUAUCUCUCCUCCCUCCUUUUUGUCCAGUGUCUUUGUUUCCCCAUUGUGCUUUCUAUUUUUCCCAUUUUAUUUCUUGCACUCCCCACACCCCCUUAUCUUUCAGUUGCCUCUGCUGUCCAUCCUUUCCUUCAUCAUACUGGCCUAGCAUUUUAAGCCAGCUAAAUAUCUACCCAUCCUCCCAGCCUUUCACUGUGACAUGUAUCUGUGUGGCAUAUCUAUUUAUUAAUUUCCUAUAUAGAAAAUACCGGCAGGUUUGGUUUGUUGGUUUUUUUUGGUUUUUUUUUUGUUUUUUUGUUUUUUUUUUUUUAACUUGUUUCUCUCUCCCUCUCCUCAUCAUUAUGAGAAAAUAAUGAGCUGUUUGGUCUGUUUUACUUGUUGAUGGGAGGAGGGGAGAGAAAGGAAGGGCAUGUGGGAGUAACAAGCCAGGUGCCCUGGAUUGUUUGCCUGGAAAGUUCUUUCCUCUUUCUUCCUUGCCCACUGUGGCCUCAUUUAUCUAAGGAUGUAGCAGCUUUUACUGUACGUUAUGAAAAAGCCUAAGAAAGCAAUCAUUCUGCAGAAGAGGAGCCAAGAGAAGCCAUUAGGAACACAGGGGCUCUCUCCUAAUCAUUAUCUGACACUUGCCCAGGGCUGGCAGCUUGCAAGCAGGUUUAUGAUUGUCUCCCAUGGCCCAUACAUGGCCUUACAUGAGGAUUUUUCAAAUGCUUCCCUGAUUCUGGAUGCUCAUAGGGAAAUAUGUCUUAAACUAUGAGUUGAAAUAGGAGAUAAAAAUAAGAGGACCACUGCUACCUCUUCCAGCCUUGUGGUCCCACUGCAUCAGUCACUGUUUAUUGCUGUUGCCAUCUGCUUGCCAUCCUUGCUUGUGGCCUCAGACCCUCUCCUGCAGGUAGGUAACACUGCUGUCUCCUGCACAGUCACAGACCUUGUCCCUGAUCCCAUAUCCUUUUCCUUUAGACUUUUAUGGCUCUGCUGCUUUCCUAAGCACAUUCCCAAACUGAUGUCUAUCACAGCAGACACCAAGAGUCCACUUCAAGCUCGCCCAUGCCAUCUGUGCCAUGACAGACUCCUUUAACCCUCUGCUAGUGCUGGUGAGAACCUGCCAAGGAGAAAAGUGAGCAACACACCUCAACACUCAGUGGUAGCUCAGCAGUUAACUUGAAGUUGACCAGGCAAAAACUUAAGAUGUUAAGCAAAGUAUUUUUAUUCCCUCCCCUUACAAUUGGCCUGAAAUAUCAUGACAAGCAUUAUUUAUCUUAUUAAGUACACUACAUUAACCUUGCAAAUAUGCUAAUGAACGAAAGGCGCUGCCUUAGCAUCUUUUUAGAAUAGGAAAUUAAACAUGUUCAUCAGAAGGCUUUUAAUUAUUAUUAUUUCUUAAAUGCUUGUGUAAUGCAACAGUUCAUCUGCUAGGGGCAUCAGAGGAGAAGGAUGAGGUUUAUAUGCCUCCACCCUCAGAGCUGCCCCCAAAAUUCCAUGUGGGUAUUCCUACCUGACUUAUACAUUAAGGACCUGCUCUGUCCUGCAGCUGCACUCCUCGCCCAGGGAUGGGAAGAGCUGAAAGAUCAGGGAGGCAGAGAAGGGAAGAACAAACUGCGUAUCUCUGCUGAGAUAUUGCUUUGGCACUCAAAAGGAUGCAGGUGCAAGUGCUGCAUGCUGGAGGAGGACUGCAAACAGAGGGAAAGGGCCAUGUCCUUUGCUCAGGAUGAGCUUCCAGUAGCUUCCCAAACAUGUGAUACAAACCCUGAUCUAGGAGAGCCUGAUAGCUGUCUCAAUUUGGCACUGGCUUUUAAAAAUAACAUGCUUGGCCUGAGCAAGGUGUCUCCUUGUCUCCCUGUGCAGGCAGUGAAGAGGGAGAAGUGCCCAGGAAGCCCCUUAUCCCAGUGUCAAGCCAGUACAAUGGCUCCCAUCUCCCAGUGCCUCAGGCACAGAGUCCAGCUUAGACACAGAGCAGGGGCAAGGCCUGCAUGGUUGAACCAGCCCCAGUGGGGGUCAGGGUGCUGGCACAAGGCACCUCUGCACCCUCUUAGCUGCUGGCAGAGUUUUGAGCUGGUGCCAUCACAACUUCUUAUCCCAAGAACACAGCCAGCCCUACCACAUGCCAAGACUGGCACAGCCCAAGCACAUCUCCUGUUGACUAACAGCCCUGAGCUGUGGGCUGGGACAGCUCUUGGGCCAUCUGGGAAAGCACCAGAGAGUGCCACUGCUGAAUGCCCUCCUGUGUGUCAGUGAGUGCUUACUGCUGGCUCACAGCUCUUCCCUUCAGUGGGCUCCUCAUGGCUCCCUUUCCCAUGCUGACAGACAUACUCUGCUCCCCUGGCUGCCUACAUCUCUUACCUGGUGAGAAGCAAAGAGAACAAGAUUUUCAAGGGUGGCUUGACAAAACUUACUCCCACCAGUUAUGAAGCUGUGAUUCUCUCAGCUUGUUCUGCCCAAGGUCUGAUCCAGGGUGACUCCCCACCAUGCCUGGCUGUGCUGCUUCUUCUCCACCCAGACAGUUCUUUCCGAUGAGUUUCCACUGCUUCCCUUACCAUGAACUGGCUGUCAUUGCUCCUGUGGCUCCUCACAGGGCAUGAUCAGCUCAGCUGGCCAGGCAGUACAGUGACAAAUGCACUUUUUGAUUAUUUCUGGAUUUUUUUUUUUAAUGGUGGUGUUAUUGUUGCAGGCUGAGGGCAGCUGCUUUCACAGCUCUUUCACAGCUGCUGCAGCUUGCUAGUGUACUGCAGCCAGCAUCACCCAGGAGAUAAGGCCAAGGAGCACAGCUCUGCACUGCAUACUAUCUAUCUAAGCUUUUUUCAAGCUUUUACGUUGUUUUUUCUCCGAAGAAAAAUCUUAAGAGGUCAUAUUUAGCCCAGUAUCCAAUGUCAUUCUGGAGUGUGCUCUGAUAAAGGAAAAAAAAUCAUCCCUCAAGCGGUGUAGAGGUGAGGAAGCUUAUCCCAUGCCUCUGCAUGGGAUCUGUCACAGCAGGAUCAACCAAGGGAAAUCAAAAGCUCAGAGAUUUACCCAGACGCAGAGAAAGGGAUGAUAUUAUCCAACAUGACAUUACAUGUUCUUUCUGUAACACAAAUCAGCUUCCAUUGGUCAAAAGCUGCUCUCCUCUGACAUGAUAGUCUUCCAGAACAGACUGCAGUGCUGCAGGAGCUCUGAGCAGAUUUUUCAGUGUGUUCGUUUUCCCGUUAAAAUUAUUUUCUCUUUAGUCAUCACUCCAAGGCUGUCUUUCUGGGAGAGGCUGAGGCAGCACUAACUGGGUGCAGACCCACAGAUGGCUCCCUGAUAGUGCCUUGCACUGGCAUAUGGCAAAUAAGGAGUUGUGUGCCCUAUUCUCAGGCAGCAACAACGAGCUGCUCCCUGCUGUGUUUUCUGAUGGGCUGUGCUUGGACAGCACAGCUAUGCUGGCCUUCUCAGAGCUGCUGUCUGUGUGCUGCCUCCUCGUGAACUGGAUCUGCAUUAGAGCAAGUAUCUCACCAGCUUGGGCUGCCUUGAAACACAGCUCCAGUAUCUCCUGUGAUGGAAAGUUUUAGAGGACAACUAUUGCAACACCUGGGACAUGCUGUUUGAUGUCUGCCCAGUCCUGGGAUCUCAAAGGCAAAAACCAAACCAGCAAUCAGGAACAACCCCCACUGAGGUAAAGGAAGUCUAACUCCAUCCCAUGCUGAUUUUUCACUCACUGUCCUUAGCCCACCUGCCCUUUCCCAUGGCCCUUGGCCCCCUCUGCCAGCAAACUUGCCACUCCAUAGUCAUGGUUAGCAGAGAUGGAGAGACAGCUUCUGAGCUCUCCUGUGUUUCUGAUGGGGAGCCCCAAAGUGAGCCCCUGCACCCAGACAGAUGUAUGCAAAUCCUCCUGGAACUAUGUGAAUUACAUCUUCAAGGCAAUCAUUUCCUCAGUCCCCAGUCACACCUAUGCCCCUGCACACUGGGUUAUUUGGGCCCAAGCUGCACUUGAUUCCACUGUGCAGAUCAUGGCGUUGGAGAGGAGCAGUUGCACCAUCAGAGCUGAGAGAUGGGAUAUGUGAGAGGUAUAGGGAGGGAAGGAGAGAUUUGCAUGGGGCAGAAUGAGGAGACAGAGACUAGAGACACACACAUAAGAUAAAAAGUUUCUUGUUUACAAAGAAGGCACAAAAGAUGGUGGCAUGGCCUUCUUUGCCCAUGGCAGCAUAUUGUCAUCCUUGUCAUCCUCUUGGAAACCUUGCCAGAAAUGCCAUCAUGAGAGAGAGACUGAGGGGUGCUGGAGGUAGAGCUACUGGCAUGUUCCCUUUCUGGACAUGGCACAGGGCACUCUAGGGAGUGGAUCUGGUCUCUGGCAUUUCAAGGACUGAGUCACAAAUCACUGUUGUUAUAUUUUUCAAUAUGCUCAGUUGAUGCUACAGAAUGGAGCAUCAGGUAAACAUGGAAGAGGUUUAUAGAGGGAUGGAGGGAGAAGAGAGGAAGGCAUCUGUGUGUGUGGGAAGGAGGGGGCUGUGGUUGCAGAAUAAAGUAAUUUGCUGAGAAGAAUGCAGCAAUUUAUUUUGAGCUACUACAACUGACCAGUGCAUUCCCUUUCAUCUGUGUCUUAUCUCUUCCUUUCUAGUACAAUCCUUGGGCAGCCCAGGGGCUGCCUCCCUCCUUCUCUGUGGAUAGUGCUGACUUGGGAGGCUAGAACAGGCCACUGUUAUCAGCAGAGCUGCCCUCAUCGCAGCUCCUUUUUCCCCUGAUUCCAACUUGCCAGCGGAGAGAGCACAAUGCAAACCCUGAAUUUAUAGCCAAGCUUUUAGUGGGAGCUGUUAGGUAUAGAGGUCUCCCUUUUUCUCUUUGGGCUCUCUAGCAACAGUUUAAUUCCAUCCUAGUCUGUGAAUAAUUAAUAGGUAGUUUUUACUGACCUCAGAUUUUUUGGUUCUUUUUCUUCUUUUUUUGCUGAGAUUCCUCGUACUCUUCUUUGGUACUGCAAGGCCAUACUUGCUAGUUAUUGUGCAGUGCCAUGCACCCCCAUGGUUAUGUGUCCCCUGCACCCUGUUGAGAAAACUGCUCUAGAGGUGAACGCCAGCAGCACUAAAGGAAAUGAAUGACUGAACAGAAUUGGCUCGGCCCCCUAUUACCUUACUUAAUAGUCUCCCUGCUUGCUCUGGAGAAGGACUGCUCUGGUUGCAGGCCAGAAAGCAGAAAGAGAGGUUGUGGGAACCCCCUCAGUUUUGAUUUUUCUACUACACAGUUAAAAGAAUGGUCAGAAGUUUUUUUAAAGUUGACCUGCUCAGGGUAGACUAGCAAAGACCAUGACAGGAACUGGAUAGCAAUGCUGGAAAAGCGGGGAAAAAAGAGCAAAAAUAAAAGAAUUUUGAUAAAUAAAAGAUUAUACAAUUCAUUUUUUAUGCAGGAACAUAGAAUGCACUGGCCAACUCUUUCCUGAUGGUAUAGCCUCCCAGCUGGCAUGGCUCCCAGGGGGAUGCCUGCUGUGCGUGCAGCACACAACUUUUCUGCAAGCAGGAGCCACUUGGCUGAAGACCCAGGGGUACACUGGCAGUCCUGCUCUCACACACCCUCUUCAUCUCAUUGUCAUGACCCUAGGCCACUAAGGCAUGAGUCACAACACAGGCAAGGAUUGCCCUCCUCAGAACACUCAGGACUACCACAGUGCUGGCCAGGUGGAGCACAGGCUGACUUUGUACCUUGCUAUUCAGUGCAUUGCAUCCACACAGUAAUGACCAGCAGACUUUGCUCUGAGCUGUGGUGCUGUUUCAAUUGCCUCUGUUUCUCAAUCCCACAACCUGGUUUGGGGGCAGGAGCAUGGAGGAGGCUUUAAACAGCACAGCUCAUGCAGGAGGGCGUUCCCAAGAGUAGCCCACACUCAGUGUGCUGUGCUCAGGCCAGAAGGUCAAAACAGGCAGCGCACACUGGGCAAGAAAAAUUGUUCCUUCCUUUGGAGCCUGAAAGGAGAAGGAAAGUCUCUGGAAGUGCUGAGCCCUAGUACCUGAGCUCUUUUUAGAAAAUUAGUUCAGACUGACUAGCUUCUACUGGAUUUCAAUUCAAGUCCCAAGAAAGAGUUUAUAUGGUAUGAUUAAUUUGCUGUACUGAUGAAAUCGUAAAAAAAAGUCUCCAAAAGCUAAAUUUUCAUUUAGUCUAUUUAUUUAUUUUUAAAUUGCAUGUCAGUGUCUAUGCCAAAUGCCAACAGUCAAUACAGGACUUAGAUGAUAAUAAGUGUAAUGUUAAUUACAUGCUUAUUGUUACUCACUUUUUAAUAGCUCUUUACAUGCAAUCAAAUAAUAAAGCAAAACUGAGGCUCUUUGCAAAACAUACUGUUCCGAAGGAAGCACACAAGAAGGCAGAAAAGUCUCCACAGAGAGCUCCAGACCUCAGGUGAGGUUCCUAACACUGAUCUCCAGGUCUUCUGACAACACAGCCCCAGCAGCUAACCUGGUAACCUGGCAGACGAUACUGGCAAAGAGCAGAGCUAUGUAUAAAGACACCAGAAUCUUUUCAUCCGUGAUCCCCCAGCCCCAUGCUCACAACCAUUCACAAACCAGUAGGAAAGGCAAAGCAGCUAUCUAGAGAAAUACCUCUUUGCCUUCCCACCAAAACCACCUUGCUCAUAGCAGAAUUUCCAGUUGUCUGCGUGUUAAAUUGUUACGCUGCAGUAUUUCACUCCUUGGUAGGAGCAGAAGUCUUACUCAAUAGGAAAAAAAGAAUUCCUGCUCCUCAGUUUGUACUAACCUUGGAAAAAUCCAAGAAAAAAUACAUAAAAAACCCUCUGAUGAUUUUAAAUGCAGGAGAAUGAUGCUAUAUUUGAGGAGUUCUUCAGCCCUAUAAAGCUGGACUUCUAAUUAGUAAGGCACCUGGAUUUGUUGCAGAAGGCAUGCAGACAAUGCAACUAGUACAGUGAGCUAAAAUGUCCUAAACCAUUUCCAAAACAUUUCAUAGUGCCAGACACAAUCAUGUCUUUAAUAGUAACACACAACAGCAUAAAGGAUUUACCAACACAAAUUGCAAUAUGUUGCCUUACUCCUGCAUGACAGGGUUACUAUAUGGAGCUUGUUCCCCUCAACAGAGCUGACAAAGCCAGAUGCCAUCCCUGGCAGCAAGCAUCGUAUAUCUGGGGCAACUUAAGGACCCUCUGAUUGAAGGAAAUCCUCCUCCUACCAAACACAGACUGACUGGCAGCAAAAAUGCUUCAUGGCUGUUUUUUCAGUCUUAAUGACUGUAACAGCUUCUGCAAUCUUUGUAAGGGAAGCGGCCAAGAAGGGGCAGGAGAUUGAUUGUCACUCAGCUCUUGCCAUAUUACAAAAGGAACCACAGAGUGAGGGAUGCGCGGGAAGCCUCAGGGAAGGGAGAUAAGGGAACAGAGGGGAAGAAUACAGGCUUAAGAGAUACACUCCCCACCUAAGCCUGGCUAUGGGAAUCUAAUGAAUGCAGAUCUUUCUUAAUAUGCCUGAGUGUUAGAAAAGUUAGGCUUUCUGUCUUGCAACAUGAAUCCAGUCCUGGCCAGCAGGCAGUAACCAUAAACAAGUCUCUUUUUCUGGACUGAAACUGGCUGCCUGUCCAGGUUAAGGACCUGACCCAAGGGGUCUCACGUAUGUAAUACAUCUGGAGAAGCAUUAGUGCAGCCUGUAGAGUUGCCUGUCAGGAGCAGAAUUCUGCCUGUGGAAGGACACAUAACAUCUGUCCUAAACUUCACUUAUAUAGGGCUUCUCUCCUCCCUCUUCCAUCUGCCCUAUUUUAAAGCAUCUAUUUGGUAUUUGCCUCCAAGCCAGAGCCUUCAUGCUCUGCAAACACAGGCACACAAAAUGAUUGAAACAGCUUUGGAAUAGGAUAUCCAGAAUAUAAUGAGCAGGGGAGAGGAAAAACUUAAAGGGAAGAAAAAAUCAGCCAGCCCAGCAAACAGCAUUUAAAUCUCUCUCUUAUUCUCUUAUUCCCUUAUUCAGUCAUUUCUAUCUUGCUUUGAGUGCGCUGUUUUUAUCUUCUUCACUCUCAUAUAAAAGCCCAGCUCCCCUAGUGAGUGUGCAGAUGAUGAUUUGGCAUUGUCCAGGACUAUUAUGCUGUCAGCUCUCAGAGAAAAAAAGGCUUGUAAAAAUCCUGUAGUCAGACAAAGGCAGAGCAUGUGGCUCAGGACAGUUUGUACUGCUGUCUGCUAAUAACCUUUCUGAACAAUAGGUUACAUGGAAAGAUCUUUCACUGAACAUGAAAUUCCUCUUUCAGCUUCACCUUCACUUACUCCUAAUUACUGCUCCACUCUCAGUUAUACACAUGCUAUAUAUGCAAAUCCUCUUUCAAACUCUUUUGUGCAGAAAAUCAGAGGUGCACUUCCCUCCCCCUGGCCCUGUUCUAGUGCAAUCUUACACUAUCCUUGCACAAUCCAUCACACACUCACUACUACUCCCAGUUCAGGUCUACAUGCAAAUUCAUUCACAUAUGUGGUCUUCACCAUUCCCAGCAAUUUGGCUCCUGCUCAGCUCCCAGGUGUAUGGAGCUGAACUUCACAUAGGCCAUUUUUCUUUCUUCAUUUCUUCAGGAAUAGAAAUUUGAUAGAAAACAAAGAAGAGGCUCAAGAUAGAUAUUUCUAUUAAAGACCUAAGGUAGAAUCAACAGUUUUUUCCAAAAAACAGAAAAUCAGCAAGUGUUCUCAAGGCAACUUGAAGAGGUCAAGAACUGGCAGGUGAAACAGUGGUGUGAUCAGACAAUUGAUCCAGCUUCUCCUUGAGUCUUAGAGGUGCCAAGUUCAUUGCGGCCCAAGUUACAAAGACUGGUUCCUAUGCUUGGCUUGUUGGCUGGUUCCUAUACUUGGGCCCUGGCAGAAGAGCUGAGGUGACCUAUCUCAGACAAUUUAUGACAUUGUGCUCUCCAGCAUUUGCCCUGGUGCAGAUUACCAGCUUCCUGACAGUGCCAGGAAUAAGCACAUUAUGUGCCUGUGCAUCAACUGUCCCUGUUUACAGCACUGGAGCGCUGCUGAUUUUGGGUUUGGGCUAAGGUCCUGGACUGUGAAAGUGAGCUGGAGUGUGAUCUUUCUGGCAACUCAACUGUAGGGAGAGUCCCUCAUUCCCACUGUGCACACAGUCAGCUACCAGCAUCUCCGCUAUUCUGCUAGAGGAGCCUGCAACCACACACAGCCAGUUCUGAGAGGACCUAGUUUACAGGAAAGUUUGAAAUGGUUAAAUCCGCUGAGUGCAAGCUGCUUUCACUUUGAGAUAAUCCUCAAAUGAGUGCAAGGAAAUGGCAAUAUGAAAUGAAUCUGUGAAACUGGUACAUGCACAAUGUGGCACAGCAGAACCUGAAAAGAAGACUGGAAAAGCACUUGGAAGUGCUCUUUGCUGUGUAUGCACCAGAUCAAUGCACAGUAACCCAAACACAAAGAACAGGCAGGCUCUGACCUCUGCUACGCCUGCCUAACGCCAGGUGUACACUGCACCAUCUCAGACAGGUCAGCACAUGGCCUGGCGGCUUUACAGGGAGCAGAAGCAAGCUGUGGGCUUGCAGGCUUUGGGUGUUGAACUUGUGAGCUGGGCCUCACUCCUGUACUCUGUCAUGCACUCACAGCUGGGGACAGAAAAGCUGUGUGGAAUCCAAGGGUUUGCAAGUACAUUGAACAACAGCAGCAUGCACUAGGGCUGUGCUGAAGGUGAGAACGAGGGCUGCAAGGAGAAGCAGCUUUCUUUAAGCUCUGAGCUCUUUUCUGAGCAGGCAAUGUCCUGCUGUUACCAGGAUGCCUAUUUCAAAUAAUGCUGCAUUUAUUUUAGCUGACAAAAAUUUGCCAGAGCUGGUGACAUAAAGGCUCAUGCCUAUUGAGACAAGAACCUAAUUCAGGCAACCAAAUAAGGUGUAGAUAAGGGACACAUCAGGCUCAAAAUAGCUGGAAAAAGACCAUAUGAGCUGAAAACCUGAGUGUGUAGGACAAGUUUGGUGUUCUCUGAAUGAACUGAAUGCAUCUAACCUAAAUGUGGCACACUUCUCCAUCCCCUUUAGCACUGCAAACAUUUAACCAGCCCCAUAAAACACCCUGAGUGCAUGAAGAAGUGCUUACAGCUAAUGAAUAUGGUGUCAGGGGCCUUCACAACCUGCUCACUGGAAGGUGGAGGGGGAAGGGACAGGGCAAAGUCUCUCAGGCUGGAGGUGGUCACAGAGGCUAACACCAAUCUUUUUGGGGUGCUCUAGUGUGUGUCAGCAUCAAGGACAGGUGGCCAAAAUCCACAAGCAGGGGACAUAGCCCAAUGGCAGAGAGGGGCAGGGAAUCAAGAAGCUCGGGGGACCUGCAGUAGCAGAUGUUAGUUUGCUUCUUCCACUACAGCUUCUUAUGACCCAUUCCUGCCAGCUUCCAAGUUAAGGUUCACUCAUCAUACACUCCCACCGAGUCCUGCUCGACUGUAACAACACCCCAUCACUUCCUGAGCUCUCACACACAAGACCAACACUGUGUAUGUAGCUUCUGGCUUAUAUUUUCUUCUUACUCAUGUUUUUCUUUUCCUCUCUUUUUUUUCAUCCUCUUGUGCUAAGGGAUCAUGACUAGAAUGAAAUCCUGACAUGCUUUCAAACCCAAGGGGGAUAAUCUGCUGCAAGAGAGAGGAAGAUCAUCUGUUCAGAGCACCACUGUUUCAGAGAAAGUCUAAGGAGGUCAAUGAAGUCUCUUCAGAUUUGGAGAUAACCUUCCUCUCACGGUCACUUUCACAGCUGGCAUCACCUCGUCCGGUUUGAAGGCAGCCAGAACAAUUCACACAGGCAGGAAAAUAUCAUGGUGAGGCUGCCAGAGACUGCCUCAGUGGGGAAGGCUGUGCAAAACUGAACCAUGUUGAUGUGUUAUUGGCAAAGCAGCACAUUGUGUCUCCCAUCUCUUGGUGCACUGGGCACCUUCUCUUACUGGGGCCUCGAUGGUGCUCAAAGAAUUCUUUGAUCAAUACAAUCAAGGAUAACAACACAUCAAGGAGCACCAGCACGGAACCUUGACCUUCAUCCAUGCCAAGAAACGGGUCACUAUCAAGAUCACACCUUGGCCAUGCUAGUGUCCUAAGGCUGCUAACACAGGGGUACAGACUAUGGAAGAGGAAAAUACUGCUGUAUUGAACUCACUGCUCACCUUCCUCUAGGCACUCACUCUGGAAGGUCACAGUGGCAGUAGGGAGAUAUUUAAUAAAGGAGCAGGUUGAAAGCAAUGAAAUCCAAGGUUUUCUCCUCCAUGCACUGACAAGGUACUCUACUCUUUCAUCUCACACCUUCUUCAGGUGGGGCAGGAACACAGUUUAGCCCUGCCCUCCCUAACCAAGAGGGGAAAAAUGCAGCAGGACUGCUUCAUUAAUUGGCUGGGGGAUGCAGAUGAAUAUGGGUCCUUUCCCCACCCAGAAAGGAAGGACAUUCCAUAACAUGCAUGCAGGCUCUUCCAGGAAGGUACUAUUUGUAGCUGUACUCCCAAGCAGGCCAGAAUGGCUAGCACAUAAACAGCUUGGUGUCCCAGAGGUGACUUACUAUGUUUACAGCAAUAUGAGAGUGCUUAGGGUACUUGUGCAGAACCUGCUUUGUUCUUCAGAUGGUUCCUGCCUUAGCAAAGUCUCUCAAACUCUUGUUUCAGACUUUCCCUUGGCUUCAUUUUCCACAUCCCUUCUCACAUUGCCUAUUCAGGAACUGCAAGGGAUCUAUCAACCAUAUUCACACUGCUGUGCCUGCCCUGCUCCCACUGUAUCCCUGCAGGGGACAGACUGAAAGGUGACAGAAAAAUUAAACCAGGAGCAAUUUGCAGGGAGGCUCAGUGCACAAGUGCAAACAUGUUUGUUUGUAAAUGGUACA